rnacentral:rRNA from 1 species
AGCGAACGCUGGCGGCAGGCCUAACACAUGCAAGUCGAGCGCCCGUAGCAAUACGGGAGCGGCAGACGGGUGAGUAACGCGUGGGAACGUGCCCUUUAGUUCGGAAUAACUCAGGGAAAC